rnacentral:lncRNA from 1 species
UACAGUUAGCUAUGAUUUCUGACAUCUGUACAUAAUCAGAGAUUCUCUUGAAAUAAGAAAUCUAACCUGUCAACGAAUAAGAGGCAUAGCAAGAGAAGCAAAAAGUUUAUUUGGGAUCUCAGGAAUUCCAAUUCGAGGAGCCUGACAGAUUCAGAAAGUCCACAAUCCUCAGUCCUUGUGAUCAGGAUGUCCAGUUCUCCUGCUGACUUUUCAAACAAUGGUGGAAUAGAGAGAGAGAGAGUUCGCAGACUUGAAUUCACAAGCUGUUGUCAGGAGAAGAAGCUGUAAACAUCUUGAGCUAAUAAUUGUUUAAUUGGAGGACAAGGCAAUAAUGGUAACCACACCUAGUGAGGAGAUACUGGGGCUAAAUAAUUAUAAGGUGCUGAGGCUGCUCACAAAGCUACAACCCCCAAGAGAUCAGGGUAUCCUAGGACCCACAGGGUUUGGCACUGAAACUCACAAGGUCUCUGGAGCAGCACCUGCAGUUAGGGUGGACAUGUGCACUCUGUCAAGAUGGUAUUGGAGAUUGCCAUCACAGGGUCCCUACAGGUCAUAUCGAGGUGCGUGACAGCGAGAGAAAAAAUAUAAAGAGAAAAAUGUGACAGACAUAACCAGUGGUGGUUACAAUAAGUCCUCAUUUUACCAUUCUUUUAAAAACUGUAUAUAUAUAUUUUAUGCACUCUUCUCUACCUCUCUUUGGAUCAGAAAUGGAACAGAAACACAGAGCCACAUAGAGAGCAAAAGCUAAGCUCCUGUGGACUUCCACCAGUUUAGAAGCAGGUAGAGGCCACCCAAAGUAUGGCUUCUGUGAAGGUAACAAAAUAAAGGUUCUCCAAGCAAGCCCAAUGCCUAGGAGGCAACCUGACCCAGCAGGUAGCAGAUGUGUUGGCAGGAUCUUUACUGUCACCUCGGAGGGGAGCCCAGAGUGCCAAUAUUUUAGCUGGCUCUGGAUUGGGAGCCAGAGAAACUAGAUGGAAGAAAAGUAAAUCCCUAGACGGGGAGAAGAGUGGGAAGACAGAAAGAAAGAGGAGAAGGAAAGGAAGGAAAAAGAAGAAGGAAAGAGUUUUUCCGCUAAAAAUAAACCUGCAAACCAAAUUUCCAAAACAUAUGAAGGAAAAUAUUUCUACGAAAGACUGGCAACAAAAUCAAUAAUCAAAAAGUGAAAUAACCUCAGACAAAUGAAAGCAGUAGAACAAUCUACAGGAAAAGUGAAAAAAAGGGCAUUCUCUGGCUAAAAAAAAGAUGAGUCGAUAGAAAACUAAAUAUGUGUUUUUUCAAAGAAUUCUCAAAGGGAGAAAUGAAUCACAAUAUUCAAGAAACAAACAAGGAAUUAUGAAACUAAAAUAGAAAUAAAUGCAACAAGAACAUAAAGAUAUGAAAAAGAGCUUAUCAGAAAUUCUGGAAAAUAAAAAGUCCUGAGAGCUUUAAAAAGGGCAUCUCUCUCCCUCUGGAGUUUGAAGCGCAAAGGCGGUGGCCUGCCUCCGAGGGUUGCCUGUGCUUGUUCACCUGAUGGCUGGACAGAGAUCCAAGAGAGAGAAGGCAGAAGCAUUCAAGACCUCUUGAGGCCUAAGCUUGGAACUGGCACACUGUCACGUCUGCUGCAUUCUAUUGGCCAAAUUAAGUCCAAAGUCAUCCUAGAUUUAAGGGGAAGAGAAAAGGAUUUUACCUGUUGAUGAGAAGAGCUACAAACUCUCAUUGUAAAGUGUAUGGAUAUAGGGAGGGUGGAGAAUUGUGACCCUUUUUUACAGUCUUCCACACGUGUGCAUAUAGAAAUAAUACACGACUGUUUAUUGCAGCAUUUUUUAUAAUAACAAAACAUUGGAAACAACCUAAACACCCUUCACUAAGGGAAUGGGCAAGUUGUGGCACAUCCAUACCAUGGAAUACUGUGUAUCCAUUGAAAGGAAUGAGCUAGGUCUCUUUCUGGGCCGACUAGAAGAAAUAUAAAGCAAAACUUUUUUUUUUUUUAAUAAAAAAAGACAACUGAAGAGCAGUUUGUACAGAAUAAUACCAUUUAUAUAUUUUUAAAACCUACACAGCAUUACGUAUUUUUGAUGGGUACAUGUAUAUGCUUGUAGAGGUAUUUUAGAAGGUCUAGAAGCACACACACCUGACUUACAGCAGUGAUUGCUCUUGGGGAGUGAGGGAGGAGGCAAGAAUUCAAAGUGGUGGUUGGAGAGGAUUUUAGCUUCAUCUGUUAGGUUAUUUUUUUCAAAAAAGAAUACAUAUGUAUUCUAUGAAAUUAAAAUUAAAAAAAUAAAACAUAAAUUUGGUUGGAAGCCCAUUUCAGGGUAAGUCUCUUGUCUGACACA